rnacentral:pre_miRNA from 1 species
UAAAGUGCUUAUAGUGCAGGUAGUGUUCAGUAAUCUACUGCAUUAUGAGCACUUAAAGU